rnacentral:lncRNA from 1 species
UAUUAUUAUAAUUAUAAUAGAACUGAUUCAGCCCAAAAAUGAGCCAUUUAUUACAAAAACGCAGCUCAGACCAUGAACAGCAGCCCAAGAGAAAAACAUAAGCCCAGCCUAAACGCCCAGACCACGGCCCAAACUCCCAGCGGCCCAAAACCCAAUUCUGAGGCUAGGGUUUUCAGCCUUUGCAGCAACAGCUGCCGCCUCCCUUCCUGUCAGCCCGCUGCCGCCGCCUUCAGCCACGCCGGAGGAGGAUCGCGACGUGAACAGUGUCGCGCGGCAUCGCCGGACGGAUCCCCGCCGGUCGCGGUGCGUUGGCUACUAAGCCCACGUCGAAGAGAGGCGUUUUCUGGAAGGGAAAGCAGCGACGCUGUCGCCGCGAGCGCGCAGGUCCGUCACACGAGACCUCCACCGCUGUGACGCUUCCCGUCACGCCACCGCGAUCCAGUGGCUUUCAUCCACCAACGCCGCCACCUCCCCGUCGCCUUCCGCGCCGGCGGCCAAGC